GUCUUUUCCUGCCCUUUUAGAGACUGUCUCACUUUUACAUUACCCACUCCUUUAGAUAAAAUGGAGUAAUUCUUCGCAACCGUCGCCAUUUUAGGAACAGAUGACGACUGUGAUGACCUUGCUGCCAUGCCAGUCAGGUUGCUAGCCAGCUUGCCAAUCCACCAAUCUCUUCAGAAGUUUGUGGGGCAUUGGCAAUAGGGAGCCUCCGAAAGCGCUCUUCACAGCCACUUGAAGCUGCCUGAAGCAGCGUGGCGCACUGGGCCGCAGUAGCAUGAGUCUCACGGCCGAGGGUGGGAGACUCGACGUGGCCCCUUCGACGAUCGGGAUGGGCGGCUCGAGAGCAGCCGUCACCGAUGUGGGAAAAUUAAACCCUUCUGAGGGGGACUCCGUGGCCAAUAGAUGAAACACGGCCGAUUACGGACUGUCAAUUCACUACUGGCAAAUUUUUCAGGUGGUUUUUGGGAGGUCGGAAAAGCGGCCUUGUUAUGAAGAGCUUGCAGCAGUCCGUGCCGAUGGGGCCUACAAGUGGCCCUGAAGCCUCCGAGGCCGAAAACACUCAAUCUCUUCCCCUUGUUGGAGAAAUAGUUCUGAACCUCUCUGCCUGGCUCCAAGCAACGGAGAGGAAAGAGGAGAUGAGAGGGAGAGAACGGGGUGGGGGGGAGAAAUAGAUGAAAGAAGGGUGUUUUUCUUUUAGGUAAUAGCAAGUAAUAAGGAUCAGGGACAGAAAAAAGGAUUUGGAGAAUGGAAUACUGUAGUAAUAUCAGCAGAAAAUAGAGAAAGCUAAAAAACGCUGCCUUGGAGCUUGCUGAGGACAGAAAGAACUGGGGUGGGGUUAUCCUCCUCAGGCUCUAGUGGGUGUGGCUUAGUUUUUUAACUAUUUACUUUCUGUCUUGCCUGGAGUUCCUGAGAGAGGAUAACCCAUGAGAUGUCCCUGGCCUCAGCAACCGAGAACUUACUACAGAGCCUUGGCAGAGAGAAACAGCUGAAACACCCCUCAAACCUCCAAGAACUAGACUCCAACAAAGGAUGCUUUCUUAAAGAGUGCCUUUUCACAGUGAAAGGAGAUUGUGUCUGCAGCAUAACAAGACCAGCGUAACCUCUAUGAAACUCAUUCAAACUCAAGAGUUUACAUCAACAUCAUUUACUGCAACAAGAACAUCGCCUGGAAAUAGAGGCAAAAAUGAGAUUAAGAAAGCAGCAGGAAGAUAACUGAAGAGACAACAGCCCUUUAAACAAGACAACUGGCUGUAUCCCAAAUACGUCUUCUGGGCAUUUCCAUUCAUGAAGGGGGUGGGUGUGGGGGGAAGGGAAGAUUGUCCCCAUUCCCUCCCACUGCAUUCAUUUUGCUCUGUAGGAUGACUUGACUUUCGGGAAUGAACUUUCAGGGUCUGUUGUGGGGAAUUCCUAUGCAGGAACUUCUUUGUGAUAGAACACAACCCAAUAUCCCAAAUAGCAAGUUGACAAAUAUUGUUUGGUAUUACUGAAUAUUAAAAGGCAACAUUUCAGUUAUACUGUCUUGAUAUUUCAUUCUAACCAGAUAAUGGUUAAUCAAUACAAACUUCAUUGGGGACAAACACAGUUCCACAAAGGGAGCAAAGUCUUCUUGACAGAGAUCAUGUAAAGAACUUCUCAGCAGACAAAGUAUGUGCCUUUUCCCCCAAUUUCCAUUGUUUUCAUAUAAAGCAGAAUUUAUACAGAAUUAUGCAUGAUUCUUGCAUUUGUCUAUCAAGUACAUUCCUAAUCUACUCAUAUGUUCGUACCUGGAAGCAACUAAGACAGUUUUUGGUGCAGUAAGCGUUGCUUGGAGAAUUGUGUGCAAUGCAGUCUUAUGAUACCUCUCACUGCCAAUAACUAGGCUAAUACAGAGAAAAAGCUUCCUUACAUCUGAUUAUGGUAGUGCUUGGUUUUUCAAAGUGUCAGGCAGGCCUCUCCAAAGAGGUGAGGCAAGGGAGAUGCAAGUUUCUUCCCACAGAUGCAACCUAAUUUGUGUAUUCAACCACUGAUCCAGCAGACACUCACCUAUUUCUCGUGAGCACAACUCGGACAGUCUGACCUCAAACACAGAAGCCCAAUUCAGACAUUAUGCUGUACAAGUGUACAGAUGUCCAGACAUUUGUACACAUGUGUGAAUUACCUGUGCUCAUUUUAAAAGUGAACCUGGAUACAGGCCCUUCAAAUGCCUGGCGCAGAGAGGAAAUGUACUUCUGUAUGUGUUCAGUAUAAUAUGUGAAUCAGUGUACCUGUGAACACUGUACACUCGUAUGAGAGCUGAACAUAAUGUGUGAAUGGGCCUACAAUGAUUGCCAGUUCCUAGGGCUAAUACAACACCUUGUUGUCACAAGGCCUUUUGUGUCACUAUCUCAGAUAAUGAGAAGUACACUGUUAGAUUUCCUCUGAUGUAUUUGCUUUUAUGCCAGACAAAACCCACCACCAUCUUCGCAAUAAUCACAGAUUUAAGGACAUCAUCUUCUUCUUUGUAACUUUUUUGGUAUGCACUCACUCACUCUGUUCUGGAGCUAACUUUCCCAACACUAUUUUUCAAUUUAUGUUUAGACGACCUUACCAACAAGAACUAGAUAGGGAAUGUCUUGAAAUGCAGUAUCAUGGCCUUUUCCUUUCCAAAUGCUACUUGGCUGAAGACACACAUAUGCAGUUUGUGGACCCUGCCAGAAAAAUUCCACUGAAACAAGGUACCAGAACAUUUUGGGGUGGGGUAAGAAUCUAGCCAAAAGGUAUAAGAGGAGAUCCUUUUGUUAAGAGACUCUUCACUCCAAUGGACAGACAGCUUCCAGGACUGGAACUGCAGCACAUACAUUCAUUCCUAGGAGUCCCUAGAAAUUUACAAGGAUAUCCAGGUUACACUAAGGUUAGCUAACUUUCAAAUCCUUAACUUGAUUUAAGAAAAGCUCAUGAACUUUUAAAACGUUAAAAGGGCCUAUUUCUUGAAACAUUUAGGGAAGAAUGGAUUGGUAUAGAGACAAACAGAACAUUUACUCAAUCUUUAACUCCCACCUUUGACUUGUGAACUGUAAUUUUUUUUCCUUGAUGGUUUUGUA